GUACGGGACCGGAGAGGUUGGGUCCGACUGAAACUCGGAAGGUCGGCGGUUCGACCCCGCCCCUGACCACCA
rnacentral:tRNA from 1 species